rnacentral:rRNA from 1 species
UACGAAGGGGGCGAGCGUUGUUCGGAAUUACUGGGCGUAAAGGGCGCGUAGGCGGCGCGAGAAGUCAGGCGUGAAAGCCCCGGGCUCAACCUGGGAGGUGCGCUUGGGACUCUUGUGCUUGAGUUCGGGAGAGGAGCGCGGAAUUCCCAGUGUAGAGGUGAAAUUCGUAGAUAUUGGGAAGAACACCGGUGGCGAAGGCGGCGCUCUGGACCGAGACUGACGCUGAGGCGCGAAAGCGUGGGGAGCAAACAGG